rnacentral:rRNA from 1 species
AGUAACGGCGAGUAAAGCGGCAACAGCUCAAAUUUGGAAUCUGGCGCAAGCCCGGGUUGUAAUUUGUAGAGGAUGCUUUUGGUGCGGUACCUUCCGAGUUCCCUGGAACGGGACGCCAUAGAGGGUGAGAGCCCCGUACGGUUGGAUGCCUAGCCUCUGUGAAACUCCUUCGAC